GACGAACGCUGGCGGCGUGCUUAACACAUGCAAGUCGAACGGAAAGGCCCUGCUCUUGUGGGGUGCUCGAGUGGCGAACGGGUGAGUAACACGUGAGUAACCUGCCCUUGUCUUUGGGAUAACUUCAGGAAACUGGGGCUAAUACCGGAUAGGAGCUCCUGCUGCAUGGUGGGGGUUGGAAAGUUUCGGCGGUUGGGGAUGGACUCGCGGCUUAUCAGCUUGUUGGUGGGGUAGUGGCUUACCAAGGCUGUGACGGGUAGCCGGCCUGAGAGGGUGACCGGCCACAUUGGGACUGAGAUACGGCCCAGAAUCCUACGGGAGGCAGCAGUGGGGAAUAUUGCACAAUGGGCGGAAGCCUGAUGCAGCAACGCCGCGUGCGGGAUGACGGCCUUCGGGUUGUAAACCGCUUUCGCCUGUGACGAAGCGUGAGUGACGGUAAUGGGUAAAGAAGCACCGGCUAACUACGUG
rnacentral:rRNA from 1 species